rnacentral:rRNA from 1 species
UACGAAGGGGGCUAGCGUUGCUCGGAAUCACUGGGCGUAAAGGGUGCGUAGGCGGGUUUUUAAGUCAGGGGUGAAAUCCUGGAGCUCAACUCCAGAACUGCCUUUGAUACUGAAGAUCUUGAGUCCGGGAGAGGUGAGUGGAACUGCGAGUGUAGAGGUGAAAUUCGUAGAUAUUCGGAAGAACACCAGUGGCGAAGGCGGCUCACUGGACCGGUAUUGACGCUGAUGUGCGAAAGCGUGGGGAGCAAACAGG